rnacentral:lncRNA from 1 species
CGAUGGGCACACGUGCAUUGAAAUAAGUCAAGGUAUGAUCAUAUGAAGGCUCUUGUUAAGCCACGUAUGGAUGAUCAGUGGAUGCGGGGAGGGGUAUUUAAAUGAAACCUCUACAGAAUUAUCUCAUUUUCUUCUUUUCUUUCUCUCUCUAGCUCCCAUUUGUCUCUUCUCCCUCUCUAUCUACACCUCUCUCUUCUCUCUACCUCUUCCCCCUCCGACCACCCUUCAUCCUACCCUGUCCACCACAUACCACCGCCUGAACCACCUUAGACCCCCCUAGGAACCACCUCAAUCCACAGAUCUCCAGUUGAAGUUCAACCAGGAUCUUCAAACCUUCAUCCUUACCCAGCCAAACUCAAGAACCCUAAACUAAUUCAGGCGAACCCUAACCCUUAUGCUUCAUCAACCUUCAAACCCUAACCCGACCCAGAAGAACCCUAACCUAUCAAACAUUAACCCUAGCCCUAAACACUAUGAAUCCUAACUCGUCUUCAUUCUAGAAGCCUUCAACCUUCAUCAUGUUCAUCGUGAACAUGAUGAAUCUUCAUCCCUAACCUCUAUCCAAAACCCUAAUCCACCCAGAAUCACCUAUAAACCACUCCAAAUACACCCAAACUUCUUCUAAACCAUAGAUCACAACAUUCAAAACAUGAAUCAAAACCUCAAACACAACAAUCAAAACCAAACAAUUUUGAACCCUAAAAAAACAAAAUCAUAUCCUGCUAACCCUAAACCCUAUCCAAAUUACAUCCAAACACAAACCAAACACGAACAAACACAAACAUACAGCAUGCAAGAAGACAUUCAACAAAACAGACAAACUUAUUACAAUUUAAAAGGAACACAGAGGAUGAACGGCCAACCUACGAAGAGGAGUAUUUCUCCGGUUAAAAAGGUAAAGCUAUCUUAGUUUAACUUCUUUUCCGCUUUCUCUCUUUUGCUCUUCCUGAAUCACUGUCUAACUCUCCUUCUUUUUCUUUUGUCUGCGAGGUACAAUUGUGGACUGUUUUUGAAGCUAAGCUCAAGUAGCUUAGGGUUUCAAGGCAAAAUCCUAAGUACCGAUGUCAGGAGCUUUGGAUGAAGGAAAGGUACGACAGCAACUUGGGGUUUUCUUUUACAAAAAAUUUCCUCUUUUUUCAAAUUUUAGUCUUAGGUUUAUAGAGCUUAGGAUUCAAUUUAGAUUAGGAAACUUUUUUAGGUCAAAUGGAUUGUAAAAAGUAACAUCUUUUCUGAUUCAUGAGUUUGUAAUGUAUCUGGUGAAAUUGCUUUGUAAACUUGAUAUGAAAUGUACCAUAAUGUAUUUUAAGAAAGAUUUGAUUUUCUCUUUUUGCUUGAUCAGAUUUUACAUGCAUUAUAGAGAAAAUUAGAGUUUGUACAAUUCUGGACUUUUGGGCUUUGUUGACUUAGGCAUAGGGUUGGCCAG